UACGGGGGGGGCAAGCGUUGUUCGGAAUUACUGGGCGUAAAGGGCUCGUAGGCGGCCAACUAAGUCACACGUGAAAUCCCUCGGCUCAACCGGGGAACUGCGUGUGAGACUGGAUGGCUUGAGUUUGGGAGAGGAAUGCGGAAUUCCAGGUGUAGCGGUGAAAUGCGUAGAUAUCUGGAGGAACACCGGUGGCGAAGGCGACAUCCUGGACCGGUAUUGACGCUGAGGCGCGAAAGCCAGGGGAGCAAACGGG
rnacentral:rRNA from 1 species